GAAACAAAUAAAAGAUCUAGGUGUGCUUGUGCUUCCUCUUUUGCCCCCUGCGUUUCUGGAUUGCUGGAACCCUGGUUUUAUGGUACAUGAAAGCUUUUUGCUGGGAUGAUGAGGACAUUCCAAAACCAUUGUGGUUACGUGCUCAGAGCCCUGAGGACACUGAAAGUCACCAAACAGCAAACUCUAAGUGGGAGGCAAUAUGUCACAUGGAGGAAAGAAUUCAGAUGUAAGCCCUGUGAAGUGGUGUGGAGAGGCACAAUUCAAUGAUAUUCCAUUCUUGGAUAGGACUUUCCACACUUCAUCUAUCCACUCGUCUUGAAGGACAUUUUGAUUGCUUCCAGUUUGGAGCAACUGAGAAUAAAGCUAUUGUAAACAUU